AUUGAACGCUGGCGGCAGGCCUAACACAUGCAAGUCGAGCGGAUGAAGGGAGCUUGCUCCUGGAUUCAGCGGCGGACGGGUGAGUAAUGCCUAGGAAUCUGCCUGGUAGUGGGGGAUAACGUCCGGAAACGGGCGCUAAUACCGCAUACGUCCUGAGGGAGAGAGUGGGGGAUCUUCGGACCUCACGCUAUCAGAUGAGCCUAGGUCGGAUUAGCUAGUUGGUGGGGUAAAGGGCUACAAAGGCGACGAUCCGUAACUGGUCUGAGAGGCUGAGUAGUCACACUGGAAGUAAGACACAGUCGAGACUCCUACGGGGGGCAGCAGUGGGGAAUCUUGGACAAUGGGCGAAGGCCUGCAGCAGCUAUGCCGCUUGUUUGAAGACGGUCUUCGGAUUGUAAAGACCUUUAAGUUGGGAGGAAGGGAAGUAAGUUAACACCUUGCUGUUUUGACGUUACCAACAGAAUAAGCACCGGCUAACUUCGUG
rnacentral:rRNA from 1 species